CGGGGGAGGCGGGAUCCUGUGCUGUGUCCUGGCGCUCUGGGCUCCGGGGCCUGCGCUGGGCCUGCGCUGUUGGAUUCACGCUCCCGCCCCGCAGCCCCCU
rnacentral:pre_miRNA from 1 species